UUGCAUGCGAUAGCAAUUUUGCUACACUUUCACUUUCCCUUACUGAUGGGAUUGUGGAAAUGCAAACAGAAGCAUGCUAGAGAAACUCGUGGAGUCAACAGGGCCACUAGUCUCUCAAGCACAGGCUGGAUUGGUAGUAUAAAGCUCCAACACUG